GGGCCUGGGUUGGUUUUGACAGCAGGGCUAAUGGUUCGGUAAGCAUGCAGGCUAAGGUAACACAAGCCUUGAACAGGGUUACAAAACAUUAAUUGGCGAAGAAAAUUACGCUCUUGCCGCUUAAUCGAAGUAUAGUAGAUUAAAGCUUGUCGUUGCAAAGUGCAGCGAGCAGGACAUCUCUCCGAGACCUUUUUUCCGUGGUCGAGGGUACAGAGGUGCAGUAAAACGGAAAUAGUUCGAAGGCUUCUUCCGACUUCGAGCGAAAUCAAAGGAAGAUAAGGAAAAGUCGGGGUGUCCGUCUCUUGGGCUUUUCUCGAAAAUGCUUGACGGAAUAAGCAUGUAGAAAGCCGGGGUGUUACUUGUUUGGACCAGAGUUCGAAUCUCUGCAGGUCCAC
rnacentral:tmRNA from 1 species